UUUCCGACUUUAAAUAACAUUUUAUCAACAUCGGUUUUUAGUUGUUGGCGACGUCGCAUUUGUAACCAUAAUGAUAUCAAAACAACUAAAUUAUUGGUAGAGCCAACUCGGACGCUUUUAUCUGAUAUUUCACAAAGUAUUGUAGAUGUACACGCUUUGAUUUGUUAAAAUCCUGCCUUGAGACACUGGAAGUUUUAUGCUAUUUAAAGAAGACCUUAUUUUAAUUCAUGUUAAAGAAUGUUUCUGCAUGGUGCACUCUGACUGUU